rnacentral:rRNA from 1 species
AACGAACGCUGGCGGCGUGCUUAACACAUGCAAGUCGAACGAGAAAGGGGUAGCAAUACCCCCGGUAAAGUGGCGAACGGGCGAGUAACACGUGGGUAACCUGCCCUCGAGCUCGGAAUAACCCGCCGAAAGGUGGGCUAAUACCGGAUAAAGUCCCCGGUUCUUCGGGACUGGGGACCAAAGAUGGCCAAUGCUUGCAAGCUAUCACUUGAGGAGGGGCCCGCGGCCCAUUAGCUAGUUGGCGGGGUAAUGGCCCACCAAGGCGACGAUGGGUAGCCGGCCUGAGAGGGCGAUCGGCCACAUUGGAACUGAGACACGGUCCAGCCUCCUACGGGAGGCAGCAGUGAGGAAUCUUGCGCAAUGGGCGAAAGCCUGACGCAGCAACGCCGCGUGGGUGAUGAAGGCCUUCGGGUCGUAAAACCCUGUCAGGUGGGAAGAAUCGGGUGGGGGCUAAUAUCCCCCGUCCCUGACUGUACCACCGGAGGAAGCCCCGGCUAACUCCGUGCCAGCCGCCGCCGUAAAAC